CUACGGGCGGCUGCAGUGGGGAAUAUUGGACAAUGGGCGAAAGCCUGAUCCAGCCAUGCCGCGUGUGUGAAGAAGGCCUUCGGGUUGUAAAGCACUUUCAGUGGGGAAGAAAGCCUUGGGGCUAAUACCCUCGAGGAAGGACAUCACCCACAGAAGAAGCACCGGCUAACUCCGUGCCAGCAGCCGCGGUAAUACGGAGGGUGCGAGCGUUAAUCGGAAUUACUGGGCGUAAAGCGCGCGUAGGCGGUCUGAUAAGCCGGUUGUGAAAGCCCCGGGCUCAACCUGGGAACGGCAUCCGGAACUGUCAGGCUAGAGUGCAGGAGAGGAAGGUAGAAUUCCCGGUGUAGCGGUGAAAUGCGUAGAGAUCGGGAGGAAUACCAGUGGCGAAGGCGGCCUUCUGGACUGACACUGACGCUGAGGUGCGAAAGCGUGGGUAGCAAACAGGAUUAGAUACCCGUGUAGUC
rnacentral:rRNA from 1 species